rnacentral:rRNA from 1 species
UACGUAGGGUGCGAGCGUUGUCCGGAAUUAUUGGGCGUAAAGGGCUCGUAGGCGGUUUGUCACGUCGGGAGUGAAAACUCGGGGCUUAACCCCGAGCCUGCUUCCGAUACGGGCAGACUAGAGGUAUGCAGGGGAGAACGGAAUUCCUGGUGUAGCGGUGAAAUGCGCAGAUAUCAGGAGGAACACCGGCGGCGAAGGCGGGUCUCUGGGCAAUAACUGACGCUGAGGAGCGAAAGCGUGGGGAGCGAACAGG